UUCUUUCUUCCUCUUUCUUCUUCUUCUCUCCCUCUCUCCUGUUCUUGCCGCUGAUGAGAAUUUGUGAAACGAGUUCGAGUCUUUUGAGUUCGUCAUGUGAGGCAAAUAUCAAGGAUUGAAUUUUCCGUGGUAAAAAUGAUUGAGAAGUGGAAUUAGAUUCUAAGGAGAAGGUUAAACAGAAAGAGAAAGUUAGGGUUCCUGAGUUGAGUUUUGUAAAUAAAAUUGAUGUUGAAUAAGAGAUGUUAAUGGAUAAAGAAAAGAGGGGUUGUUGUUAUAUUAAGGAGGUAAAGAUUAUCUGAUGAUGAAUCGAAAGAAAAAGAUUUGUUGAGAAUUGAAUCAGUUAAUUAGGGCUUCUUCUAACUGUUUUGAUUUGUCUUAGAAGAAGAAAUUAAAGAUGUUGAAGACUAUAAGUCGUGAUUUAAAAAGGAAUUUGAUGGGUAUAAGAUGAACUGGUUAACAAAUUGAGGUAAUUGCUCUCUCGGCAACUUAGUAAAGUUAUUGAUUUCAAAUAAUGAGUUUUAAGUUAUGGUUGUUGAUGAAUAUGUGAUGAAAUUGAAGUUUAUAGUAUGUUGAAAUCAAGUAAGUUAAUAGAACUGGUGGUGUUGUGAUAAAUGUUGUUAUUGAAGUUUAAGUGUGCUAGAGUUGGAGUUGUUAUGGUCUGGAUGAAUGAGUGAUUGCAGGAUAUGAGGUUUGUUAACUAGGGAUAAUGAAUUGGAGUUGUUGGCGAUGUUGUAAUGUUGGUGGUGGUGAUUAUGAGAGUCUCGGAUAGUAAUGGGAGUUACUGAAAUGGAGAAGAUGUGUUGAAUGAUAUAUAGAAUCUGUUUGAUAUGGAAUUGUUAUGAAGAUGAAAGGGUUAAGGUUGGGAACUGAUGAUGUCACAGGCUGUUGGAGAUUGAGUUAGUAAUGGUGCUGGUUCUGCAAUUAUUGAUGUUGAGGUGUGGAAUGAAUGUUGCAGUUAUAACUAAUGGGUUGUAAAGGUUAUGUUUGUUGGAUGUUGUAGUGAAGAACUAGAAGUGAUGAAGCUUUGAAUAGCAAGGCCAUGGGGUGAUGUCGAGUUAUCGAUUUGUGGUGUUGAGAACUGGUCAUGAAUUGUGUUGUGUGACUUGAAACUGAGGCUGAUAUGGGUUGGGUAUGGAUGUGGAUGUGAUAGACACUGGGCUAGUAUUGUAGAAUGCAAGUAUAACUGUACCUAGUAAAGUUGAGACAUUAUCUAAGGGUGAAGAAGAACUGAAAGAGGUUGUACUGCAAUUGCAGGAUGAACCAGUGGAUCGUGGAUCUCGAGGUAGGCAUGGCUUGUCAUCAAAUCAGGUGGGAACUCUGUAACCUUCUUGUAAUCAUUGAGCUUUGUUUCUAUCUGCAAGCAUGAUGUGUUUUUAAUAUCUGUGUGUACAAU